GGUUAAGCGACUAAGCGUACACGGUGGAUGCCCUGGCAGUCAGAGGCGAUGAAGGACGUGCUAAUCUGCGAUAAGCGUCGGUAAGGUGAUAUGAACCGUUAUAACCGGCGAUUUCCGAAUGGGGAAACCCAGUGUGUUUCGACACACUAUCAUUAACUGAAUCCAUAGGUUAAUGAGGCGAACCGGGGGAACUGAAACAUCUAAGUACCCCGAGGAAAAGAAAUCAACCGAGAUUCCCCCAGUAGCGGCGAGCGAACGGGGAGCAGCCCAGAGCCUGAAUCAGUGUGUGUGUUAGUGGAAGCGUCUGGAAAGGCGCGCGAUACAGGGUGACAGCCCCGUACACAAAAAUGCACAUGCUGUGAGCUCGAUGAGUAGGGCGGGACACGUGGUAUCCUGUCUGAAUAUGGGGGGACCAUCCUCCAAGGCUAAAUACUCCUGACUGACCGAUAGUGAACCAGUACCGUGAGGGAAAGGCGAAAAGAACCCCGGCGAGGGGAGUGAAAAAGAACCUGAAACCGUGUACGUACAAGCAGUGGGAGCACGCUUAGGCGUGUGACUGCGUACCUUUUGUAUAAUGGGUCAGCGACUUAUAUUCUGUAGCAAGGUUAACCGAAUAGGGGAGCCGAAGGGAAACCGAGUCUUAACUGGGCGUUAAGUUGCAGGGUAUAGACCCGAAACCCGGUGAUCUAGCCAUGGGCAGGUUGAAGGUUGGGUAACACUAACUGGAGGACCGAACCGACUAAUGUUGAAAAAUUAGCGGAUGACUUGUGGCUGGGGUGAAAGGCCAAUCAAACCGGGAGAUAGCUGGUUCUCCCCGAAAGCUAUUUAGGUAGCGCCUCGUGAAUUCAUCUCCGGGGGUAGAGCACUGUUUCGGCAAGGGGGUCAUCCCGACUUACCAACCCGAUGCAAACUGCGAAUACCGGAGAAUGUUAUCACGGGAGACACACGGCGGGUGCUAACGUCCGUCGUGAAGAGGGAAACAACCCAGACCGCCAGCUAAGGUCCCAAAGUCAUGGUUAAGUGGGAAACGAUGUGGGAAGGCCCAGACAGCCAGGAUGUUGGCUUAGAAGCAGCCAUCAUUUAAAGAAAGCGUAAUAGCUCACUGGUCGAGUCGGCCUGCGCGGAAGAUGUAACGGGGCUAAACCAUGCACCGAAGCUGCGGCAGCGACGCUGAUGCGUUGUUGGGUAGGGGAGCGUUCUGUAAGCCUGCGAAGGUGUGCUGUGAGGCAUGCUGGAGGUAUCAGAAGUGCGAAUGCUGACAUAAGUAACGAUAAAGCGGGUGAAAAGCCCGCUCGCCGGAAGACCAAGGGUUCCUGUCCAACGUUAAUCGGGGCAGGGUGAGUCGACCCCUAAGGCGAGGCCGAAAGGCGUAGUCGAUGGGAAACAGGUUAAUAUUCCUGUACUUGGUGUUACUGCGAAGGGGGGACGGAGAAGGCUAUGUUGGCCGGGCGACGGUUGUCCCGGUUUAAGCGUGUAGGCUGGUUUUCCAGGCAAAUCCGGAAAAUCAAGGCUGAGGCGUGAUGACGAGGCACUACGGUGCUGAAGCAACAAAUGCCCUGCUUCCAGGAAAAGCCUCUAAGCAUCAGGUAACAUCAAAUCGUACCCCAAACCGACACAGGUGGUCAGGUAGAGAAUACCAAGGCGCUUGAGAGAACUCGGGUGAAGGAACUAGGCAAAAUGGUGCCGUAACUUCGGGAGAAGGCACGCUGAUAUGUAGGUGAGGUCCCUCGCGGAUGGAGCUGAAAUCAGUCGAAGAUACCAGCUGGCUGCAACUGUUUAUUAAAAACACAGCACUGUGCAAACACGAAAGUGGACGUAUACGGUGUGACGCCUGCCCGGUGCCGGAAGGUUAAUUGAUGGGGUUAGCGCAAGCGAAGCUCUUGAUCGAAGCCCCGGUAAACGGCGGCCGUAACUAUAACGGUCCUAAGGUAGCGAAAUUCCUUGUCGGGUAAGUUCCGACCUGCACGAAUGGCGUAAUGAUGGCCAGGCUGUCUCCACCCGAGACUCAGUGAAAUUGAACUCGCUGUGAAGAUGCAGUGUACCCGCGGCAAGACGGAAAGACCCCGUGAACCUUUACUAUAGCUUGACACUGAACAUUGAGCCUUGAUGUGUAGGAUAGGUGGGAGGCUUAGAAGUGUGGACGCCAGUCUGCAUGGAGCCGACCUUGAAAUACCACCCUUUAAUGUUUGAUGUUCUAACGUUGACCCGUAAUCCGGGUUGCGGACAGUGUCUGGUGGGUAGUUUGACUGGGGCGGUCUCCUCCUAAAGAGUAACGGAGGAGCACGAAGGUUGGCUAAUCCUGGUCGGACAUCAGGAGGUUAGUGCAAUGGCAUAAGCCAGCUUGACUGCGAGCGUGACGGCGCGAGCAGGUGCGAAAGCAGGUCAUAGUGAUCCGGUGGUUCUGAAUGGAAGGGCCAUCGCUCAACGGAUAAAAGGUACUCCGGGGAUAACAGGCUGAUACCGCCCAAGAGUUCAUAUCGACGGCGGUGUUUGGCACCUCGAUGUCGGCUCAUCACAUCCUGGGGCUGAAGUAGGUCCCAAGGGUAUGGCUGUUCGCCAUUUAAAGUGGUACGCGAGCUGGGUUUAGAACGUCGUGAGACAGUUCGGUCCCUAUCUGCCGUGGGCGCUGGAGAACUGAGGGGGGCUGCUCCUAGUACGAGAGGACCGGAGUGGACGCAUCACUGGUGUUCGGGUUGUCAUGCCAAUGGCACUGCCCGGUAGCUAAAUGCGGAAGAGAUAAGUGCUGAAAGCAUCUAAGCACGAAACUUGCCCCGAGAUGAGUUCUCCCUGACCCUUUAAGGGUCCUGAAGGAACGUUGAAGACGACGACGUUGAUAGGCCGGGUGUGUAAGCGCAGCGAUGCGUUGAGCUAACCGGUACUAAUGAACCGUGAGGCUUAACCUU
rnacentral:rRNA from 1 species